AUUGAACGCUGGCGGCAGGCCUAACACAUGCAAGUCGAGCGAGCGGCGGACGGGUGAGUAAUGUAUGGGGACUGCCCGAUAGAGGGGGAUAACUACUGGAAACGGUGGCUAAUACCGCAUACUGUCGGAAAACCAAAAUGGGAUUAGCUAGUAGGUAAGGUAAUGGAUUACCUAGGCGACGAUCCCAAGCUGGUCUGAGAGGAUGAUCAGCCAAAAUGGGACUGAGACACGGCCCAGACUCCUACGGAGGCAGCAGUGGGGAAUAUUGCACAAUGGGCGCAAGCCUGAUGCAGCCAUGCCGCGUGUAUGAAGAAGGCCCUAGGGUUGUAAAGUACUUUCAGUCGGGAGGCGUUACCGACAGAAGAAGCACCGGCUAACUCCGUGCCAGCAGCCGCGGUAAUAC
rnacentral:rRNA from 1 species